rnacentral:rRNA from 1 species
AGAGUUUGAUCCUGGCUCAGAUUGAACGCUGGCGGCAGGCUUAACACAUGCAAGUCGAGCGGCAGCGCGGGGGCAACCCUGGCGGCGAGCGGCGAACGGGUGAGUAACGCGUAGGAAUCUACCUGAUAGAGGGGGAUAGCCCGGGGAAACUCAGAUUAAUACCGCAUACGCCCUACGGGGGAAAGCAGGGGAUCUUCGGACCUUGCGCUAUCAGAUGAGCCUGCGUCGGAUUAGCUAGUUGGUGAGGUAAAGGCUCACCAAGGCGACGAUCCGUAGCUGGUCUGAGAGGAUGAUCAGCCACACUGGAACUGAGACACGGUCCAGACUCCUACGGGAGGCAGCAGUGGGGAAUAUUGGACAAUGGGGGAAACCCUGAUCCAGCCAUGCCGCGUGUGUGAAGAAGGCCCUAGGGUUGUAAAGCACUUUAAGCAGGGAGGAAAGGGUGAUGGCUAAUAUCCAUCAUCAUUGACGCUACCUGCAGAAUAAGCACCGGCUAACUUCGUGCCAGCAGCCGCGG